rnacentral:tRNA from 2 species
ACUAGCUCAUCUGGUAGAGCACUUGACUCAUAAUCAAGCAGUGACGGGUUCAACUCCCGUGUAUAU